rnacentral:rRNA from 1 species
AUGCAGUCGAGCGGACAGAUGGGAGCUUGCUCCCUGAUGUUAGCGGCGGACGGGUGAGUAACACGUGGGUAACCUGCCUGUAAGACUGGGAUAACUCCGGGAAACCGGGGCUAAUACCGGAUGGUUGUUUGAACCGCAUGGUUCAAACAUAAAAGGUGGCUUCGGCUACCACUUACAGAUGGACCCGCGGCGCAUUAGCUAGUUGGUGAGGUAACGGCUCACCAAGGCAACGAUGCGUAGCCGACCUGAGAGGGUGAUCGGCCACACUGGGACUGAGACACGGCCCAGACUCCUACGGGAGGCAGCAGUAGGGAAUCUUCCGCAAUGGACGAAAGUCUGACGGAGCAACGCCGCGUGAGUGAUGAAGGUUUUCGGAUCGUAAAGCUCUGUUGUUAGGGAAGAACAAGUACCGUUCGAAUAGGGCGGUACCUUGACGGUACCUAACCAGAAAGCCACGGCUAACUACGUGCCAGCAGCCGCGGUAAUACGUAGGUGGCAAGCGUUGUCCGGAAUUAUUGGGCGUAAAGGGCUCGCAGGCGGUUUCUUAAGUCUGAUGUGAAAGCCCCCGGCUCAACCGGGGAGGGUCAUUGGAAACUGGGGAACUUGAGUGCAGAAGAGGAGAGUGGAAUUCCACGUGUAGCGGUGAAAUGCGUAGAGAUGUGGAGGAACACCAGUGGCGAAGGCGACUCUCUGGUCUGUAACUGACGCUGAGGAGCGAAAGCGUGGGGAGCGAACAGGAUUAGAUACCCUGGUAGUCCACGCCGUAAACGAUGAGUGCUAAGUGUUAGGGGGUUUCCGCCCCUUAGUGCUGCAGCUAACGCAUUAAGCACUCCGCCUGGGGAGUACGGUCGCAAGACUGAAACUCAAAGGAAUUGACGGGGGCCCGCACAAGCGGUGGAGCAUGUGGUUUAAUUCGAAGCAACGCGAAGAACCUUACCAGGUCUUGACAUCCUCUGACAAUCCUAGAGAUAGGACGUCCCCUUCGGGGGCAGAGUGACAGGUGGUGCAUGGUUGUCGUCAGCUCGUGUCGUGAGAUGUUGGGUUAAGUCCCGCAACGAGCGCAACCCUUGAUCUUAGUUGCCAGCAUUCAGUUGGGCACUCUAAGGUGACUGCCGGUGACAAACCGGAGGAAGGUGGGGAUGACGUCAAAUCAUCAUGCCCCUUAUGACCUGGGCUACACACGUGCUACAAUGGACAGAACAAAGGGCAGCGAAACCGCGAGGUUAAGCCAAUCCCACAAAUCUGUUCUCAGUUCGGAUCGCAGUCUGCAACUCGACUGCGUGAAGCUGGAAUCGCUAGUAAUCGCGGAUCAGCAUGCCGCGGUGAAUACGUUCCGGGCCUUGUACACACCGCCCGUCACACCACGAGAGUUUGUAACACCCGAAGUCGGUGAGGUAACCUU